rnacentral:rRNA from 1 species
GGCUACGGCCAUACCACCCUGAACACGCGUGAAGUCGGGAGGUAAGCAGAGUUGGCCUGGUUAGGACUGGGUGGGGGACUGUGCACAGACUCAUUGGUUAUGGGACAAGGGGAGCUGGAGGAU